rnacentral:rRNA from 1 species
UGCCAGCCGCCGCGGUAAUACGGAGGAUCCAAGCGUUAUCCGGAAUUAUUGGGUUUAAAGGGUCCGCAGGCGGUUUAUUAAGUCAGAGGUGAAAUCCUACCGCUCAACGGUAGAAUUGCCUUUGAUACUGAUAGACUUGAGUUAUUGUGAAGUAGUUAGAAUGUGUAGUGUAGCGGUGAAAUGCAUAGAUAUUAGGAAGAACACCGGUGGCGAAGGCGCUCUACUGGAUCAUUACUGACACUCAGAGGCGAAAGCUAGGGUAGCGAAAGGGAUUAGAUA